CACGUAGGGGACGAGCGUUGUCCGGAAUUAUUGGGCGUAAAGGGCUCGUAGGCGGUUUGUCGCGUCGGGAGUGAAAACCCAGGGCUUAACCCUGGGCUGGCUUCCGAUACGGGCAGACUAGAGGUAUGCAGGGGAGAACGGAAUUCCUGGUGUAGCGGUGAAAUGCGCAGAUAUCAGGAGGAACACCGGUGGCGAAGGCGGUUCUCUGGGCAUUACCUGACGCUGAGGAGCGAAAGCAUGGGGAGCAAACGGG
rnacentral:rRNA from 1 species